rnacentral:rRNA from 1 species
UACGGGGGGGGCAAGCGUUGUUCGGAAUUACUGGGCGUAAAGGGCGUGUAGGCGGGAGAGAAAGUCGGGCGUGAAAUCCCUAGGCUCAACCUAGGAACUGCACUCGAAACUUCUUUUCUUGAGUACCGGAGAGGAAAGCGGAAUUCCUGGUGUAGAGGUGAAAUUCGUAGAUAUCAGGAGGAACACCAGUGGCGAAGGCGGCGACCUGGGCCAAUACUGACGCUGAGGUGCGAAAGCGUGGGGAGCAAACAGG